rnacentral:rRNA from 1 species
UACGUAGGGGGCUAGCGUUGUCCGGAAUCAUUGGGCGUAAAGCGCGUGUAGGCGGUCCGGUAAGUCCGCUGUGAAAGUCGGGGGCUCAACCCUCGAAAGCCGGUGGAAACUGUCGGGCUAGAGUACGGAAGAGGCGAGUGGAAUUCCUGGUGUAGCGGUGAAAUGCGCAGAUAUCAGGAGGAACACCAGUGGCGAAGGCGACUCUUUGGUCUGUAACUGACGCUGAGGCGCGAAAGCGUGGGGAGCAAACAGG